rnacentral:ncRNA from 12 species
GAUUGCCGAGGUGGUAGAUUUCGUCCCGACCACGCGCCGAUGGUAUGACAAGGGGAAACCCUGAGAGAUGCAGGAGAGGGGGACGCCUGCCGGCAAUC